rnacentral:lncRNA from 1 species
CUCUGUUUUGAGCUUAUGCUUAUUGCAGUUCUGGUAUGGUUUCUCUGCACGUACCGACUACUACUGUGCAGACCCUUGUGCUGAUCUGAGAGAAGGGAGGAGAUGACCUAGCUCCAGCUUUCCCCUCUGCCUUGCCAAAGAGGAGACAGAUGUCACAAACCACCCUUCUUGCUCUUCAGAGACCCAAGCAAAGCAGUACAACUCAUAGCCAUGAAGGGGCAGCUGGGGACAGGCAAAGCAAGGUCACACAGUGCCAGAUUGCUCAUGCAGAACACCAUUUCACUUACUGGGUUUUCCAGGGCAGCAUCAGAGUUUAUUUGGUGUUUUGUGGAAGAGAUGCUCGCUAGGUAAGCCCACGAGGCCAGGACCACGUGUUGUCACCUCGUAGCCUCCUCUGCUCAUAGGGAUUCUUCUCUCUUUAGGGAAGAUACAUUUUUUGGGUGCUGGUUGAGAUUUUACGUUUUCCAAGACAGGGCUCAGCCAACCGUGGCCUGCUUUUAUUUUUGUUGUUACUUGCAUUAUUAGGACACAGCUUGUUUUCCAAGAUAACAAUGUGGAAAAACAACAGCAGCUUGCCAAACUCCUUCAGUGUACUGUUUGCAGGUUGUGCUAUUUUAUCAAUGUCCUACUAUGCUCUCUGGAAUGGUUUAUAAACUCUGUCUUGUGAGCUACAGAGGCAAUGAAAAUAUUGAAAUACAGCCCUCCCUUCCCUGUCAAAUAGACCUUCCUUCUUCUAGUACUUUUCUAUCUGUGAGCUGUAUUGUAGGGAUCUUGUUUAGCAUUUAAAAAGCUACUGCUGCACUCUAUUAUCAAAGACAUAUUUGUUAAAACAUGCAUAUGAAAGGAUUUGUAAUUGAAGUACAGCUUUGAUAUAUUUAAUAGGAUGUAAAACUGCCAUCCCUUUUUAAUAGGAGAUGCUUUAUGUGCAUUAGUAGUAAUAUAAUAAUGCCUCUCCACUGAGCUCUACCCAUUAGCAGACUUUUUUUCUCCCUUUCUUUUAGUUAAUCUUAAAACUUUAAUGUAAUCUAAACACAUUAACAUCUUUUUUCUCCCCUUUCUAUACUUGGAAGUGCUUUGAACUGAACUUUGUUUCAAAUAAGAGAUAGCUACAAACAUGGCAUCAAUAUACAGUGCCCCGGCACUGCCUGACAGAUGGCCCAUAAAGCAGCGCAUCUCCUUGCCUUGGAAAUGGUAACAGUAAUGGGAGUGAGGCUGUAUGUGGGAGCGAGCAAGCAGGCGAGCACGUGCAAGAAUAACCUUGUAAACAACACACCACAAUAAGCGUGUGCUUUUGUAUAUUCCCAUGUCUCAAAUGUAAUCAAACACCAGAGCAGCAGGAAUAGAAAAUGACAGUCAAAAAAAAAAGGUCUCUUUAAUAGCUGUCUCCAUUUUGCAGCCUCAGAAUACUUUACAAGAAAUCAUUAUGAUUCAGAAAAUAAGUAUCUAAGCUGGCAAACAUUAAAUAGGCCAAAAGUGACCACUGGUUUAGGGUACUUGUGGUUUGGUGUCUCACCUUACACACAGCUGUUUUCUGUUCCUUCCAGACCUCAGGGUCAUGCACUACUUUGCAAGCUGGCUAUCCAGAAUUGCUUGCUCUGGAAAAUCCUGGAUGUGUCUCAUAACUGUGUCAGAGGAACAAAGGUAAGAUUCCACUUGUCCUGAUUUCUAGCCUAGUACCCCACUAGCAUCCAGCAGUAUUUAUUAAUCGUGGUUGUUGUAAGAGUAUUCACAAAAUGUCUGUGAUAGUGUUGCUUUGUUAAGAAAUGGAGCCCUUUCAGAAAGAAAAUCUCUCACUUUGAUUCAGAUACACUGUUGUAUUGGGCAUGAUCAAAUUCCCAUUGUGACUGUGUGAGUAUACUUAUUGCUUUUCCUGAGAACAUCUUUUGAUUCAUUCAUUCGCUAAUGUCUUGGAGCAUUUUGAACAUGAAAAUGUUGUGCCAGUGAUUUACAGGAGCUAGAUAGCUGCAAGCCAUGGAUGCAGUGCUUUCAGAAUACAGCUUACCACCCCCUGCACGUGUUCACUAUACUGCAACACAUGCGAGCAGGCACACUGUGUAGCCCAUGUUUGGGUGACCGUGGUGAUGCUGCCAUUAUCCAGGACGUUCUGUAGGAGGUGGUCAAAAAGACAAGACUCUUUGACUCUUCCCCAAUAAAUUUUUGAAUGACUGAAUGUUCCCUAAGCUGACAAAUAACUGUAGGAUGGUAUAAGCGCUCUGUCAUCCUCCAAGUGUGACACAGAUGCAGCUUUGUUUAUAGAACUGUCAGAUUCCAGCUUGGGACUAAAGUUUCCAAGCCAUUCAUCUAUUGUUUGUUAUUUUUUUCCCCAGCAAUCUGAACAUGGCUCCUCUGGCCUGCAUUGCAGCCCACAGUCAUGUCAGCAAAGGUGCACAUUUAUUCAAACAAUACAGGUCUGAAGCUGCAUAUGUAAAUAUGUGAAUAUGUUAUAAAGUUUAAAUUGAUGUUUCAUAACUAGACAGAGAGAAAAUCUCAAUUUCAUAUGAAGAAUAAAUACAUUCUUUUCCUAAAAGCAGGCAGUGCAAUUCAUUCAAUUUGCUUUUGGAUAUAUUGCCUUUGUCCAAGUGAGUGGUAUGCGUUUGGACGUUUAUAAAUGGCAGAAUUCUCACAAGGUGGUUUCAGUGUCUUCUAAAACUUGUUCUCUUUUGCAGCUGUAAACCCCAGUCCUAUAUCUGCAAACAUCUGAAUUCCAAAUAACAGAUGUAUUCAUUAAGUGUCUAGCCUAUGAAAAAUAAAUCCAAUGCUUUUUCUUGGUGAUGAACUUGGUCUGUAAUAAGGACUGCUGUAAAGUAAAUUUAAGUAGAACCUUUAAAAAUGAAUUAUCAAGCCGCUAAUUGGGGAUAUUGUCACUCAUUGCAGUUUCAGCACACACCAAACUGCAGCGGGCACACUGUAAAUGCCAAGUCAGUUGUGAGUCAUCAACUCUCCAGGUUAAAGUGAGCCCAGGCAAAGUGCUGACCAGCUACCUUGGGUUAGAUGGGUGAAACAUUUUUAAAAAUUCCAGAAAAACAGAAUUGGCUUUACCAAAAGGAUGGUGGUGAAAGAGCUGAAGAAGCAGUCCUGCAGUCAAGGCUUCAUAAGAGUUCUAGCUUGGAUUUAAAACAAAACACAAGAAAAAUAAGCGAGCCAAGCUGGCAGUGAAAUCUUGGACAAAGCUAACUGUGCCCUGCAGUGUGAGCUCUGCAUGAGAUGCGAAUUCACCCCAGGUCUAACCAGACUCUGCUGGAGAAAAUGCACAUUUUUUAUCAUCUCAGUAGGUUUAUGCAUUAUGUCUUUUCAGCGUAAGUUAGCUCCUAUACCUUUUACUCGCAGGACAAAGCCAUCGACCUGGAGCACAUCACUAAACAGGAGCUGAAUUACUGCUUUCUGUUAGACACCGAAUGAUUGUCACUGGGACUACAUCCAGCUACCUGUGAGGGAUCUCCAGGAAGCCUGACACAGGAACUUUUGCAUUAGUGAAAAUGAAGUGCUCUGUUGAAGGCAUUACUUUCAGGAGACUGAAGGGAAAGGAGGGAUUCAAUGUCAUUUCACUUCCUGAAGCACAGUCUGGAGAGCGCACCUGAAGAACUGCAAGUGUUAGAUGCUCCCACAGAGCAAAGGCAUACGCCACUGGAAAAGCCCUCCUCGUGCUGACAAGCAGAUAAAAAUUUUCUAGAUGCCUCAGUUCUGGCCUGUGGAAUAAGACAACAGGGAAGGAUACAAGAAAGAAUGAAGCAGCAGCACAGGUACCACAAUCACUGAAUUAUUGUUCUAGCAAAUUUCUGCAUGAGAAACUGCCAUACUUCCAGGCUGCUCUGACUGCUCUCCCAGAAGUCACAAACUUUGUACAACUGCACAGAGAAGAACUGAAAAGAUGACAAGAAUUGAGUAAUUCUCUGUGUUUCUGAAUUAAACGCUUUUUAACCCCUCCAGCAGCAAGAAAACUCACGAUUGUAUUCUCUGUCUUCUUCCUUCUUGACUGUUAACAGAUCACAAGGCACUACAAAUUAUUACAACUUUCUUCCUCACCUUUCAUAGAAUCACUAUGGUUAGAAAAGACCUCUAAGAUCGUCCAGACCAACCACCAACCCAUCCCCACCAUGCUCCUCAAUGCUGCAUCCGCACGGUUCUUGUACACCCCCAAGGACGGUGACUCCACCACCCCCCUGGGCAGCCUGUGCCACUGCAUCACCACUCUGCCUGAGAAGUUUUUCCUAAUACUCAACCUGAACCUCCCCCUUUCACAGCUGGACCAGAAAUUUUCCAGCAGACAGCUCACACUGAAAGUUAAAUACACAAGAAUAUCCAAAUUAACAGAGACACUUGCAAUAAAGAUCUUAUUAAGAUGUCAACAUUGUUUACGGAUUACGGAACAACUUAGAGAACCUCAAGAACUUUGUACUCCCUCUUUCUGAUCAGUGCUUGGUUGUUGCUUGGGGGAUGCAGGGAAUACACGUUUAAGACCUGCAAACUUAGAGACAACUGUUAGUGCCUAAAGAACUGAAGUCACUGAUGGCUAGACCACAGCAAGAAGGAAGCAGUGACGUGAACUGAGAGGAAUUCAGGACUCACAGACAGAUGGAGCUGUUUCCCACCUGUAGGGCUAAAUCUGGCAUAGACGACAGCCCGCAUUGAGCUGGCACUGAGCUGAGCUCCUGCCUGGUUGUGGGAAUACCCUGCUUUCAGUCUUGGGUGAAGCUGAUCUGUGAGUCCAGUCCUGGAAGUUAAGAGGUCUCUUACGCCCCACAGUGUGAAAGAAUUGGUGGGUACAUGGGUAGGAGUGGCUUCCCUGGGUAGUCAAAGCAGCCAGCUCAAAAAAACUGAGCAAUCAUGCCGAUAAACAAAAUAGAUCACUGGUUAAAAUAAAUAAUAGAAAAAAAAAAAAGAAGCAGGAAUAAAUGGAGAAGGUUACUGCUAGUGUUCCUCUAAAGCAGAUUUGGGGCAACCUGUUGAGAUAAUUUACUGAUAAGGUGUCAUGCAUAACAAGGUAACGGUUUGUCUACAUUCCCACAUUACUCAAGGUUUUAAAGUGGAAGUUCACUGUGAAUAGCUGCAGAAAGAUCUGCCAGAAACUGCCAGAUAAAAUGGAAGAUAAAGUUCAAGGUCAAUAAAUGCAAAACAAAUCAUAGAUAAAAAUGGCAGUAAUUGUGCACGCUCAGUGGUACACUAAAUUAGAUAAACUUUCCUAAGAAAGAGGCAUGUCAGAGUUGAUCUAAAAAGUAAACAAAUUAGAGCUAAAAACAAAACAGAACAGGAGAUAUUGCUGUGCCACUGCAAAAAUGUAACAUGCCAGUGCACCCUGAAUACCAGCUACUGUCCUGGUCCUGGUCUCACGAAGGAUCCAAGAGUGACUGGAAAGGGUUCAGAAGUAGACAAUGAGAUCAACUGAAGGACACAGCUGCUUUCUGUCCAGGAGAAGUUACAGAUGGGGCUUCCGUGCCAUGGUAAAUGAAUGACAGAAGGGGUUACAUGGAAAAAGAUCUCAGAUGACACAGAGUAGAGGAAUAGACUGGUUACGACUUGCUGACCCUCAGAAUACAGGAAUCAGAAGCUAUUGUGUUACAUGCUCAACGUGAGAACUGGAAACAACAGACCAAGAAUACAAGCUGUAUACACUGAGGCACUCUGUGCUGUGUAUACCAAAAAUUUGUAUGGAUGCAACAUGCAGUUGUACAACUCAUACAGGACAAAAGAUCAAGGUCUAGGAUAGGAAAGAAAGAUGCUUUGACCAGCUUGGAGAGCCUCCAAGAUGAGGCUUCACUGGAAGCUGCAAAGAUAUCGUUGGACACUUGUCCUGCCUUUAUCCUCUUCCUUGCCUGGGUGCUGACUGCUCAUGUGAGAGUGAGGGUGGUAAGUCCAACCUCUGGGGUGUUACCAGGUGCAUUUGUGGUUAAAGCACAGCCAGCUACAAAUGACGGCAGAAAGCCAUCCAGUGUGGUGCCAAACAGCAUUUAGGGUGAAAAUGGAGAUUAAGAAGCCAGAUGGAAAAGAAGACAGCAAGUUUAAAAGGAUGGGAGCAGAGGGACACCCCAUUUUGAUACACAGUUUGAGACUGCAGCCAAAUCACAAGUGUGGCAGAGAUGGAAUGCUCAUCCAGACAUGAAAACAAAUGCCUACGUGGGUUCCCAGCUGCGUAUGAACAGAAGACAGAGCUGGGAGAAAGCUGCUUGGAGGAGAAGGAAAAUGGGAGCACACAGUCUGCACUUCUGCUCUCCUAAGGAAAUUAUUCAGUGAAACAUUAUUGAAACUGUCAGAAAUGUACUUGAAGUAGGGACUAGCUUCUUAAUUCAGAUCAGAAUGGUGGUAGUGAAGCCAGAGAAUCAGGUAUUUGACAGACCUUCACUGAAGUCAAUAUCCUUUAGCGCUGACAUCCCUAAACUGCCUACUGUAAAAAACAUCAGUAUACCUGUAUUGGAUUUUACCUAUUGUGCUCGGUCUACCUGGGUUUAUUCUCUUUCACCAAAAUAAAAAGCAAAUCCAAACCAAAACCAACAACAAUUGAACAACCACACAAAAAACAGCCUACCCUGAAAAGUGUCUUCAAAUAGCCUCAGAAGAAAUCUGAGCUUUGUUGCUCUAGUUAUUUAUGAUGCUGACAGGAAUUACAUUACUGAAG